AUGGCAGUAUUGCAGUCUCAUUAUCACCCUACAGAUGGCAGUAUUGCAGUCUCAUUAUCAUCCAACAGAUGGCAGUAUUGCAGUCCCAUUAUCACCCUACAGAUGGCAGUAUUGCAGUCUCAUUAUCAUCCUACAGAUGGCUGUCUCAUUAUCAUCCUACAGAUGGCAGUAUUGCAGUCUCAUUAUCACCCUACAGAUGGCAGUAUUGCAGUCUCAUUAGCAUCCUACAUAUGGCAGUAUUGCAGUCUCAUUAGCAUCCUACAUCUGAUGGCAGUAUUCCAGUCUCAUUAUCAUCCUACAGAUGGCAGUCAUUAUCAUCCUACAGAUGGCAGUAUUGUAGUCUCAUUAUCAUCCUACAGAUGGCAGUAUUGCAGUCUCAUUAUCAUCCUACCGAUGGCAGUCUCAUUAUCAUCCUACAGAUGGCAGUAUUGCAGUCUCAUUAUCAUCCUACAGAUGGCAGUAUUGCAGUCUCAUCACCCUACAGAUGGCUGUAUUGCAGUCUCAUUAUCACCCUACAGAUGGCAGUAUUGCAGUCUCAUUAGCAUCCUACAGAUGGCAGUAUUCCAGUCUCAUUAUCAUCCUACAGAUGGCAGUCAUUAUCAUCCUACAGAUGGCAGUAUUGUAGUCUCAUUAUCAUCCUACAGAUGGCAGUAUUGCAGUCUCAUUAUCAUCCUACCGAUGGCAGUCUCAUUAUCAUCCUACCGUUGGCAGUCUCAUUAUCAUCCUACCGAUGGCAGUCUCAUUAUCACCCUACAGAUGGCAGUAUUCUAGUAUCAUGAUCAUCCUACAGAUGGCAGUCUCAUUAUCAUCCUACAGAUGGCAGUAUUGCAGUCUCAUUAUCAUCCUACAGAUGGCAGUCUCAUUAUCGCCCUACAGAUGGCUCACUGCAGGCUCAUUAUCAUCCUACAGAUGGCAGUAUUGCAGGCUCAUUAUCAUCCUACAGAUGGUAGUAUUGCAGUCUCAUUAGCAUCCUACGGAUGGCAGUCUCAUUAUCACCCUACAGAUGGUAGUAUUGCAGUCUCAUUAUCACCCUAUAGAUGGCAGUAUUGCAGUCUCAUUAUCACCCUACAGAUGGCUCACUGCAGGCUCAUUAUCAUCCUACAGAUGGCAGUCUCAUUAUCACCCUACAGAUGGUAGUAUUGCAGUUCUUUAAAGACGUUUAUCUCGAGUCAGGAGGACUCGAAUCAACAGUCUAGAAGGGG
rnacentral:lncRNA from 1 species